rfam:Pseudomonas sp. TTT2014-080ASC scaffold_2, whole genome shotgun sequence.
GGGUCGUUAGCUCAGUUGGUAGAGCAGUUGGCUUUUAACCAAUUGGUCGUAGGUUCGAGUCCUACACGACCCA